rnacentral:rRNA from 1 species
AGUGGCGGACGGGUGAGUAACGCGUGGGUAACCUGCCUUAUACAGGGGGAUAACAGUCAGAAAUGGCUGCUAAUACCGCAUAAGCGCACAGAGCUGCAUGGCUCAGUGUGAAAAACUCCGGUGGUAUAAGAUGGACCCGCGUUGGAUUAGCUUGUUGGUGGGGUAACGGCCCACCAAGGCGACGAUCCAUAGCCGGCCUGAGAGGGUGAACGGCCACAUUGGGACUGAGACACGGCCCAGACUCCUACGGGAGGCAGCAGUGGGGGAUAUUGCACAAUGGGGGAAACCCUGAUGCAGCGACGCCGCGUGAAGGAAGAAGUAUCUCGGUAUGUAAACUUCUAUCAGCAGGGAAGAUAGUGACGGUACCUGACUAAGAAGCCCCGGCUAACUACGUGCCAGCAGCCGCGGUAAUACGUAGGGGGCAAGCGUUAUCCGGAUUUACUGGGUGUAAAGGGAGCGUAGACGGUGUGGCAAGUCUGAUGUGAAAGGCAUGGGCUCAACCUGUGGACUGCAUUGGAAACUGUCAUACUUGAGUGCCGGAGGGGUAAGCGGAAUUCCUAGUGUAGCGGUGAAAUGCGUAGAUAUUAGGAGGAACACCAGUGGCGAAGGCGGCUUACUGGACGGUAACUG